rnacentral:rRNA from 1 species
GGUUAAGCGACUAAGCGUACACGGUGGAUGCCCUGGCAGUCAGAGGCGAUGAAGGACGUGCUAAUCUGCGAUAAGCGUCGGUAAGGUGAUAUGAACCGUUAUAACCGGCGAUUUCCGAAUGGGGAAACCCAGUGUGUUUCGACACACUAUCAUUAACUGAAUCCAUAGGUUAAUGAGGCGAACCGGGGGAACUGAAACAUCUAAGUACCCCGAGGAAAAGAAAUCAACCGAGAUUCCCCCAGUAGCGGCGAGCGAACGGGGAGGAGCCCAGAGCCUGAAUCAGUGUGUGUGUUAGUGGAAGCGUCUGGAAAGGCGCGCGAUACAGGGUGACAGCCCCGUACACAAAAAUGCACAUAUUGUGAGCUCGAUGAGUAGGGCGGGACACGUGGUAUCCUGUCUGAAUAUGGGGGGACCAUCCUCCAAGGCUAAAUACUCCUGACUGACCGAUAGUGAACCAGUACCGUGAGGGAAAGGCGAAAAGAACCCCGGCGAGGGGAGUGAAAAAGAACCUGAAACCGUGUACGUACAAGCAGUGGGAGCACGCUUAGGCGUGUGACUGCGUACCUUUUGUAUAAUGGGUCAGCGACUUAUAUUCUGUAGCAAGGUUAACCGAAUAGGGGAGCCGAAGGGAAACCGAGUCUUAACUGGGCGUUAAGUUGCAGGGUAUAGACCCGAAACCCGGUGAUCUAGCCAUGGGCAGGUUGAAGGUUGGGUAACACUAACUGGAGGACCGAACCGACUAAUGUUGAAAAAUUAGCGGAUGACUUGUGGCUGGGGGUGAAAGGCCAAUCAAACCGGGAGAUAGCUGGUUCUCCCCGAAAGCUAUUUAGGUAGCGCCUCGUGAAUUCAUCUCCGGGGGUAGAGCACUGUUUCGGCAAGGGGGUCAUCCCGACUUACCAACCCGAUGCAAACUGCGAAUACCGGAGAAUGUUAUCACGGGAGACACACGGCGGGUGCUAACGUCCGUCGUGAAGAGGGAAACAACCCAGACCGCCAGCUAAGGUCCCAAAGUCAUGGUUAAGUGGGAAACGAUGUGGGAAGGCCCAGACAGCCAGGAUGUUGGCUUAGAAGCAGCCAUCAUUUAAAGAAAGCGUAAUAGCUCACUGGUCGAGUCGGCCUGCGCGGAAGAUGUAACGGGGCUAAACCAUGCACCGAAGCUGCGGCAGCGACACUAUGUGUUGUUGGGUAGGGGAGCGUUCUGUAAGCCUGCGAAGGUGUGCUGUGAGGCAUGCUGGAGGUAUCAGAAGUGCGAAUGCUGACAUAAGUAACGAUAAAGCGGGUGAAAAGCCCGCUCGCCGGAAGACCAAGGGUUCCUGUCCAACGUUAAUCGGGGCAGGGUGAGUCGACCCCUAAGGCGAGGCCGAAAGGCGUAGUCGAUGGGAAACAGGUUAAUAUUCCUGUACUUGGUGUUACUGCGAAGGGGGGACGGAGAAGGCUAUGUUGGCCGGGCGACGGUUGUCCCGGUUUAAGCGUGUAGGCUGGUUUUCCAGGCAAAUCCGGAAAAUCAAGGCUGAGGCGUGAUGACGAGGCACUACGGUGCUGAAGCAACAAAUGCCCUGCUUCCAGGAAAAGCCUCUAAGCAUCAGGUAACAUCAAAUCGUACCCCAAACCGACACAGGUGGUCAGGUAGAGAAUACCAAGGCGCUUGAGAGAACUCGGGUGAAGGAACUAGGCAAAAUGGUGCCGUAACUUCGGGAGAAGGCACGCUGAUAUGUAGGUGAAGCGACUUGCUCGUGGAGCUGAAAUCAGUCGAAGAUACCAGCUGGCUGCAACUGUUUAUUAAAAACACAGCACUGUGCAAACACGAAAGUGGACGUAUACGGUGUGACGCCUGCCCGGUGCCGGAAGGUUAAUUGAUGGGGUCAGCGCAAGCGAAGCUCUUGAUCGAAGCCCCGGUAAACGGCGGCCGUAACUAUAACGGUCCUAAGGUAGCGAAAUUCCUUGUCGGGUAAGUUCCGACCUGCACGAAUGGCGUAAUGAUGGCCAGGCUGUCUCCACCCGAGACUCAGUGAAAUUGAACUCGCUGUGAAGAUGCAGUGUACCCGCGGCAAGACGGAAAGACCCCGUGAACCUUUACUAUAGCUUGACACUGAACAUUGAGCCUUGAUGUGUAGGAUAGGUGGGAGGCUUUGAAGUGUGGACGCCAGUCUGCAUGGAGCCGACCUUGAAAUACCACCCUUUAAUGUUUGAUGUUCUAACGUGGACCCGUAAUCCGGGUUGCGGACAGUGUCUGGUGGGUAGUUUGACUGGGGCGGUCUCCUCCUAAAGAGUAACGGAGGAGCACGAAGGUUGGCUAAUCCUGGUCGGACAUCAGGAGGUUAGUGCAAUGGCAUAAGCCAGCUUGACUGCGAGCGUGACGGCGCGAGCAGGUGCGAAAGCAGGUCAUAGUGAUCCGGUGGUUCUGAAUGGAAGGGCCAUCGCUCAACGGAUAAAAGGUACUCCGGGGAUAACAGGCUGAUACCGCCCAAGAGUUCAUAUCGACGGCGGUGUUUGGCACCUCGAUGUCGGCUCAUCACAUCCUGGGGCUGAAGUAGGUCCCAAGGGUAUGGCUGUUCGCCAUUUAAAGUGGUACGCGAGCUGGGUUUAGAACGUCGUGAGACAGUUCGGUCCCUAUCUGCCGUGGGCGCUGGAGAACUGAGGGGGGCUGCUCCUAGUACGAGAGGACCGGAGUGGACGCAUCACUGGUGUUCGGGUUGUCAUGCCAAUGGCACUGCCCGGUAGCUAAAUGCGGAAGAGAUAAGUGCUGAAAGCAUCUAAGCACGAAACUUGCCCCGAGAUGAGUUCUCCCUGACCCUUUAAGGGUCCUGAAGGAACGUUGAAGACGACGACGUUGAUAGGCCGGGUGUGUAAGCGCAGCGAUGCGUUGAGCUAACCGGUACUAAUGAACCGUGAGGCUUAACCUU